rnacentral:lncRNA from 1 species
UUUUUUUUUUGUUUGGCCUUGAAAUUGGAUACGGUACGCACUUUUCGUCUGUAUUCCUCAUCCGCUGUCCACCUCCAAGAGAUCUCAUCCUCAGUGUUGUUGUCCAUGUGUAGCAAUUGAAUUUCAUACCAUAGGUGCACGUACUCCCAGAUUUCCUCCUGAGUUGUGAGCUGGCAAACUUGAUCAAUCCAGUAGUUGUCAUGUAAUGCUCGGUGCACUGAGAAUUGUUUUCGUCUAGAUCGUUGGAAUAAGAGUGGCACAAAAUUUCUUGGUGACACCCCGUUCACCCAAAACGAGUGCCAAAAGUUAGCUUUUUUUCCGUUACCCACCACUACAACAGUUGAGGCAUAGAAAAGGUUUUUGUCGUGUUUGUCACGAGGAAUAUCCAAUCCUACCCAAGCUCUGUCCGAAUGUUUCCAUUGAAACUAGCACCACCGAAUUCUUAGAGCUCUAGCGAGUUGCUCUAGGUCGAGAAUUCCCAACCCUCCUAAAUCUUUUGGCAAACACACUGUUGGCCAGUUGACCAAACAGUAUCCUCCAUUGAACUUUUCCGGUUCGUCUCCUUUCCAUAAAAAUCCUCGUCUAAGUCAGUCUAUUUGUUUGAUCAGCCACUUUUGCGCUGGGAAGAUUGUGAGGUGGUAAAUUGGUUAAGAAGUCAGCACACUCUUUACUAGUGUCUCUCUUCCGGCUGAGGACAACAACUUCCCUUUCCAUCCAGGCAGUCUGCCUCCUAUCUUAUCGAUGAGCAGUUGAACAUCCACCCUCCUGAGUUUGCGGGUGCGGAGAGGUAAUCCCAGAUAUUUACCAGGGAAUGAAGAAAUUUUCCCUAGGAAGUCUAUUAAAGCUUCUGAGAUGAUAUCCUCGCUGCAACAAAUGGGGAAUAUUUCUAUCUUAUUCAUGUUAAUCUUGAGGCCGGAGCAUUCGCCAAACGUAUGUAGCAGGUGGCUGAUAUGGUACAGCUCUGUUCGAUCCGGAUUCGCGAAGAUUGCCGCAUCAUCGGCAUAUAGAAAGCAUCUCAUUUUUGCCGCUCAAGGGACGAUGGGGUUUAUGAUGUUGUUACUAGCGGCCAUCUCGAUUAAUUUGUGGAGUGGGUCUAUGGCUAGGAUGAACAACAUGGGUGAUAGUGGGUCACCCUAUCGAAGGCCUCUCGCAUGCUUAAAUUUUUUUUCCCAGGCACUCCAUUGAGUGAUACUUUUGAGGAUGAUGUGGCUAAUAAGGCUGUGAUCCAGUCUCUCCAUUUUUGACCAAAACCAAGAGCAUGUAGAGUUUCAAUGAGGAACACCCAACUGAUCAAGUCAAAUGCCUUGGAGAUGUCGAGCUUUAUAAACAAUGCCGGUCGUUUUGAUUUGUGCAAGGCUUUGAUUACACCUUGUACAUAGAUGAAGUUGUCAUGAAUACAUCACUUUUUGAUGAAAGCAUUCUGACAUCUGGAAACUAGUUCAUUAAGCUUUGGAGCUAACCUGUCGGCAAGUACCUUUGUUAUGAUCUUUGCUAAACUGUUGAUAAGACUAAUUGGUCUAAAAUUGCUAAGUACCUUUGUUACGAUCUUUGAUGAAGGCGUUCCAUGGGUUGUAGUUAGUGCAGGGAUGUGUAACUUCCUUUUCCUAUUAUUUGCAUGUAUCAUAAACAACCGUGUGCAAGCGUCGCCUUUUCGUAUCCAUGUUAAUCUAGAGUGCUGGGGUCCGUUGGAUUGGCGCGAGGUCCACUGAUUUAGCUUUCAAGUAUCGUCUAAACUCUAGCUCCUCAGGCGUGAGCGUCCAUUGCUCUUGGGCGGUAUCUCAAUGCUAAGUUACCUAAAUUCUGUCUCUUCCACAGUUUCAGCGCCUUCGCUGUUCGAAUGAGCUUGACAUGCAUGCGUAAUUAAAAUGACAUCUUGCGUGUUCACUGGUUGACUCCAUGCCUCCUGAACAACCUCCAAAAAACUUGGCAUAUAACCCAGUAAGAUUCGAAUCGAAACCCCGCGUAGUUCUGCCUCUCGACAUCCCCCGUCAGGCAGACGAGACAGAAUUUGGAUCCCAGGUGAAAAGACAGACGAGAAAUCAGCUGAGACAUGAGACCAAGAUAAUCAUCGCCAGAGAUGACAGUAGUCAUGCAUGAUUCAGUUACUGGCUGAUGAUAUUAUUGCGCAUUCAUGCUGUCUCUCUGAAGAUUCAAAUUGUCCAUUUCUGUCAUUUCCCAUUCACUGAUCAGAAUGCCUAUCUAGCACAUGUUGGACACGCCAUUGUUCUUGGCUAGCUCCGUGGGACAGAACAGAACAGGCUUUGGUACAUUCUAUGUUUGGCCCCAUUCAUGUACAACAUGACAUUGCACAAUUAUGCAUGACUGAAUCUGAACCUAUAUUGAGACAGACUGAAGUAACCAGCAGUAGUACAGUUUCAUCUCAGAUCCAUCUACGUUAACAAAUCUCAUGUAAAGACCCAAAAAAAAACAGUACAACAAACAGUACUCAAACCAAACUAAUGCUGAAGAUCUGGUACAGACAUAAAGAUGCUUGUGAUCAUCAGCAUAACAACAAAUAUGAUAUUCAUACGCAACCAAACUUUGAUUAUGUCUGCCGAUUGUUCAGUUGGUAUAGCACCUGACAGGGAUAGUGUGGAAACUAUGGUCACUGAUACAAGGUUCUGCGGUGGCAUAUCAUGGAAAAGAUGCCUUAAAGAACACAAGUAUACACAACUAUGUUGCAUGAAAACUGAAACUAUGGUCACUACACUUUGUCGCUGCCAUGUCAGUUGACCUGCGAAGUCUUACAAUGCAUCCAUGUACAAUCAGCCGCCGUCCCAAUAACGUACAUGCAGAAUUUGUAUUUUGUACGAGAGAAGAGCGAGGGUAAAAAGGGGAACAAAUUCGUUGCGCCUCCAUGAUUUUCUCCUUAUUUUCCGCUUCUUUACCCGUGAAAAAACGCGGCUGGAAUAAUCUGCGUUUGUACAUGAAGAGUUUGAUUUGACCGGGCCCCUCGCUCUCCCCCCUUUCCAUCUUCUCCAUGACCGAAUUUUACUUUCCAACAGAUCGGAUCGGGAGGAGCCGACGCGCAGCAAGUUCUUGGAUCGAAGAGGGCGGAGAUGUCGACGGCGACGUCGGAUGGAGGCCGUGGCAUCCACGCCCUGUGCGACGACGCCCUGAUGGAGAUCCUUGUGCUUCUCCCCAACAAGUCCGUGCUCUGCUGCCGCGCCGUCUGCCGGAGGUGGCGCCGCAUCACCAACGACGGCUCCUUCCUCGCCGGCCUCUCCGCCCGCCGCCCGCUCAAGAUGAUCAUCCUCUCCCAAUCCGGCGCCGGGGCAGUGAGCGCCGUGUCCCUCUCCGUCGACGACCCGACGUCGCCUGCGGAGAGCCGCCGCUCGCACCUCUUCGACCGGAGGCAGCUAUACGAGGACGGGCGGACCCGCCGUAACAACCGCUGCUUCGACGUGGUCUGCUCCCUCGACGGGCUGCUCGUGCUGUCCCAACGCCCGGGGCUCUUCGUCGUCUGCAACCCCGCAACCAGGCAGUGGACCAACCUGCCGGCGCUGCGUCAGGAGCCGCGCCGUCUCCACGCGAUCGCGUGCGGCUUCUACUCGCACGGCUCCUCCGGCGAGUACCGCCUCCUCUGCCACGUCGAGUACAGGAGGAAACGCUACUACUACAUCCUCGCGGCCGGCGGCGCCCUUCCUCGCCGGCUCGGGCGAGCUCCUCGUCCUCCGAGCUGGGAGUACGACGCACCCGUGGCUCGUCGCGGGAUCCUCCACUGGCUCGCCUCGCACCCCGAGGCCGCCACCGCCGCCGGCAAGAACAAGAUGCUGGCGUUCGAUACAGCCUCCGAGACGUUCCAGCUCAUGCCCCGGCCGCCGGAGCGAGCCGGCGACACGGCGAGGGCGCUGCUGGAGCUUGACGGGGAGCUCAGCGUGGCCGUGAUGCAGGGUUUGACGUCGCUGGCCGUUUGGGACUUGCGGCACUACGAUGCGGAGGUCUGGACGCUGCGCUGCCUUGUGGUUGUGGAGGUGCCGCUGUCACGACUUUCGACCUGCAGGCUUCACUCGGUCGGCGGCGGCGCCAUCCUGAUUGCAAACCGCUACAGCUGCAAGUUCAAUGCUGCUAGGUUAUACGAUCUCAAGGAGAAGAGGAUGCUCGGGGAAAUUUCUCUCUCACACGAGGAUCCAACGUUCCUUAUGUUUAGGGAGAGCCUCGUGUCGCAUGCCUUCUUCCACUCACCGCCUCGCAGCUCUGAGGUUGCGUACAUAAAGUUCACCGAUUACAUGGUCAGGAUCUAUCUCUCUCAUUCUAGGUAUCAGCGGAUAAAAAAAAUGUUGGAGUAUAAAUGAAUUGUCUAUCUUUGCUUAUGAAGUCAAUAUGGAUGUUUGCAGGAUGUUCAAUUUUCAUUGAAGAAGUUCACUGAAACAGGCCGGCCGCAAAUUUUUGCAAGCUCUUGGUAUAAAAAGAGAAGAGGAGACUAUUACAAUCGAUUGGAAUGAAAUGUCGAUGCUUACUAUUGUUACUCCUCUGUCCCAAAAUAUAAUAUGGGAUUUGACUUGGCAUGGUUGAUCACACUUUGACCGCAAAUUUCUAUUGUAACACCAAAUUUAUGGCUUUUGUAACACAAACCAUUCAUAUUGUUAGACUAGUUAUAUAUUAGUCAGAGAUUAUAAAUUUAAAUUUUUAAAAUGCGCGUGCGUCUUAUAUUUUCGGACAGACAUAGUAUAAACCGGUGCCAGAUUAUCAUGAGAAAGCUAUGCUGCAUAUCUUAGCUGCAGGCGGUGUAUUCACACCCAUUGCCCAACCAAAAGGGCUCAAGCUCCAAACCGCAACAAGCGGCAAAUCUUGUACAGUUUGGCAUAUUUCUUCAUUCCAGUUCACAUUUCUUGAUGGUCUGUAAAGCAUAGUGUAAACAUUGAAGAAUCAAUUUGCCAUGGACAUUCUGAAGACCAUACCAAGAGGUAAAAGUGACUGGUGCUACUAUAGUGCGAGGUGCAAGGAAUGCACUCUCCGAUGUCUCGAUCGACUCACGAGAACCGUAACGACGGGUCAACAGUAGUGGCUCUUGAGCAGUGUCGGGCCACCAAAUCUCUCAGGCUUCUUCAGGGGAUCAGAUCGAGCAGUAGUCUAGUAGCCCUAUAUGGGCACAUAACCGCUCAACUAAGGGCGCGCAAAAAGCCAGCUAAGAAUAAGCUUCGCAGUAUGUUCUCCCAAUACCGCUCAUCCCCAAGCAACGUGCGCAUGCAAUGCACAUUUCACGAUUGGCUCACUAGAGUGCUCGAUCGAUUACUGUAGCUGCUCCGGCGGCGGUGCCGGCUCAUCACGCCGCGGCUCGCCGAAGAACCGCAGCAAUCCGGCCAUCCCCGCCUUCCAUCUCCUGGACGCUGGAUCUCUUGCCGCACGCUUUAACCAUUGGCACCGCGCUCUUCAACUCUCCGGUGUGCCGCCGCGCUCGUGCUGUCGUCCGCUGGCUCGCAGGAGCACCGCCGCCGCGACGCGUUCCGGACGGCGGGACAGGCACUUGUCUGGUGCCGCGCCAAGUUCGUUCCUGGGGCCUUGCCUGGUCGCCUCCAGUCCUGGUGGCGCGCCGUCCGGUGCGCGCGGCAGCAGUCGGCACCGGGACAAGCCUCUCGCCGGAAGCCCGAGAGCGGAUACAACACUUGCACUGCACGAGCACGUCUGGUUCGAGCUUGCGCCACCGCUGUCCACCGUCGCCGGCGAAGUGAGCACACGUCGCUGAUUCUGCUUAUCCUAAGCCACCGGACGAGCCACCGCAAGACAAUUAACACGACAGCGACAACCGAACGCUGCAGGAGAACACAAGUUUGGCAGGGUCAGAUGGCAAAGACGAAACAUGGGCUCACACACAUAUACAUAGCAACUGAAGCCAUCAAGAAUAUUCAAGAUUCGAGGAAUAACAAAUACUCAAAUAGCAGGAGCAGUUCUUCACUUCACACAGCAACAGCACGUUCACAGGAUACAUACAACCAGACAUACACACCUCGUUACAGAGUCGAGAGACUGAGUAGCAAAUUUUCCAUUCGGAUAUGCAAGCACUCCAUCCUACUUCUUUAUAUAUGGCGCACUAGAAUUUUGAAAUGUCAAACUUUAUAUGUUUACACCAACAAUUUGACAAAUUCUCUGCAUUAUUGAUGUAGCCCUUCAUAUUAUUGCCCUUCUGACGAGCCUUGAUCCUGCCUAUUUUAUCCCUCUGCCUUAGCAUUUUUUUUUCACAUAAAGCCCAUACGGCCAUACCACUACUCUGGUUAACAUGUCCUUUUAUCUUCAGGUAUGCGUCUACAGUGCCUAUAAAAUGGCAAGUAUGCCUCUCACACUGUAGAAAGAAAGAGCAACACAACCAUCAAAGACGCACGGAGUUUAGUUUCUAGUCACUGUAACUCUCUGUAUGUAUGUUUACUUAGUGUAUAGGCUCAUGCUUGAAUUUUAGUACUCGAGGAAACAGCAUGACCGAUCCACUAUAGGUGCGAUGGGAACGUGUGGCAGCAGGAUUAAAAAUCUGGCAGUAAGGAAGUUUCUGAGAGGGGCUCGCAGUGAUGCUGCUUUCUGAGCUUGUAGGGGCAUCGCAAGUUGAGACUGAUCAUGGACAAGAACGACAACUAAUUAACGUGGGCGUGUUUGAAAUUAAACAAUUUCACACGUCAACUGCACUGCUAGUAAAGAUGGUUUCAUCUUACAGUAUUUUAGUGCCCAUAAUCUGUUGCAACAUUAAUUUAAAUAUAUUCAACCAACUCGUACAUAUUGUCAGAGAUGCAUUAUUCGAUUGGAGUUCCAUUUUGAAUGUGUAUCUGUGUUAAUUUUGCUUUCAGCAAGAACUAUUGAACUUCAGUUAUUUUACUAGGCCAGAUAGUCCGAUCUCAGAAGAUCAUACAAGGCAAGGAAAACAAUUGGAAAAUAUGGCACUGGCAGGUCUAGAAAAAGAAGGCAACUACUGCGGAAAUGCACGCACUCCUUUCCGAAAAUAUGUCUUGGUUGAUGCACUGAUGAAAUUGUACAACAAUAAAAGGCACACAGUAUAAGUAUGGGUCAGGUAGACCCCUUGUGCUGGGCUGGGCUGCCUAUAAAAUGGACCCUGCAUACCUGCACGUUACAAAGCAAGUAUUACUCAAAAAAAUUAGGUCUGAGGCGGUGAAGGCAAGGCUGGUAUACAUACAUGUCGGUUGGGCUUGAGAGAGAUCAGGAUCACAAAUUCCACUUGUAUCUUCAGAUGUAUACACCCCCACAAUCUCUUCAGCACUUCCAGCUUUGCUACCCUUAGUGAUAUUUGGCGUAUUCUGUGUCCGAUCAUUCCUCGUUGCAGACAUGAAUUUGCUGAAAGCAUUGCUCUUGGUUAGAUAUGACCACGAUGAAAAUAAAGAAAGCUUCAUUCUUGGUUGCAGAGAAAGCUGCAGCAAGAGUACUUUAACCUUCACGAGUAGGAUACUUUAUAGUUUCUAAUUCAGAAUUUUAAUAGAUGUAGAUGACAUGGUCGACAGGAAUGGCUGCAAGUGCAAGUGUGUCACUAAUGACAACCUAUAUGUAUUGAUGGUUUCAUCUAUGGUAAUUUAGAGUUGGCAAUAUGUGAUUUUUCAAACUACCAGGUAGUAUUCACAAUGAUGAUGAAGUUUGCUUCUAACUGAAGUUCAACCGGAAUGUUUAUCAAUAUAAUUUUUUUUCUCCGAUUAAAGAUACACUACUGUUAUAUUACAUGGUCAGGAUCCAUCUCUCUCAUUCUACGUAUCAGCGGAAAAAAAGGUUCAAGUAUAAAUGAAUUGUCCAUCUUUACGUCAGUCAAUAUGGGUGUUUGCAGGAUGUUCAAUUUUCAUUGAAGAAGUUCACUGAGACAGGCCGCAAAUUUGCAAGCUCAUGUUAUAGGUGUUGAUGUGCACACAUGUGCUCUUGUACCGGAGACUAUUACAAUCGAUUGAAAUGAAAUGUCGAUGCUUAUUAUUGUUACUCCUCUGUCCCUAAAUAUAAUAUGCGAUUUAACUUGGCAUGGUUGAUCACACUUUGACAACAAAUUUCUAACACCAAAUUUAUCACUUUUGUAACACAAACCAUUCAUAUUGUUAGACUAGUUAUAUAUUAGUCAGAGAUUAUAAAAUUUAAAUUUCAAAAUGUGUGUGCUUGUUAUAUUUUUGGACAGAUAGAGUAUAUAAGCAAGUGCCAGUUUAUCAUGCGAAAUCUAUGCUUGGCACUUGUCUUAGCUCAAGCUCCAAAUUGCAACAAAGUGGCAAAUCUUGAACAGUUUGACACUUAUUUAUUUAUUUAUUUUCUUCAUUCCAGUUCACGUUUCUUGAUGGUCCGUAAACAUUCAAGAAUCAAUUGGCCAUGGACAUUCUGAAGACCGUACCAAGAGGUUGUGACUGGUGCUGCUAGAGUGCUAGGUGCCAUGAAUACCAUCUCUGAUGUCUCGAUCGACACACAGCCACCAUAUGAAAGUGGGUCAACAUUAUUUGUGGCUCUUGAUCGGUGUCUAACGACCAAAUCUCUCAAACUUCUUCAUGGGGGCAGACCGAGCAGUAGUCUAGUACGCCUGUAUCGGCACUUAACCGCUCAGCUAAUGGCGCGCAAACAGCCAGCGAACAAUAAGCUGCGCAAUAUGUUCUCCCAAUACCGCUCAUCCCCAAGGAACGCGCGCAUGAAAAUGCAACGCACAUUUCACAUUGGCUCACUAGAGUGCUCGAUCGAUAUUACUGUCUGUUGAAUUGAGAGAACACAUGUAAAGUAACCUACAGUAUGAGCAAAGGAGCACCCAAGCAUGGUAGAACUGGAAGUAGUAUACAUCGGUCUUUCACGAAUGCCUACUUGAGGAGCUUCUGGGCAUGUGAAGCAUCAGGAAUCAAGAUGCGGAGCAAAGAAGGUAGCGGUGCUGCUGGCUGACGAUCUAGAGGCACAGAUGGCAUGGCUGGGGAUGGGCCACAAGGGUUGCAGGUACCUUUGAGGUAAGCCAUCUAAGAACAGUGGAACCCAAUUUACUGUUCAUCACAAUCCUGUCAUGCCUUGACCACAGGGGUUGUAACUUUAGUUAGUAACCGCUGCCCCGAAGGCAUCAAGAAGCUCAUAUAUAAGAUUGUAGAUUCUUCCUGUACACUCCUGCUCUAUCAAUGAAAUAGGCACUAUCUCGUGCCCGUUCGUUCAAAAAAAAAAAAGACAGGGCAGCUGGGAGGCGGCAACAGGCCCCCCGAGUGAAUUUGUACCCGAGUGGUCAAGGUCGUGUUAGCAUUAUUUCAGCUUGGCGUCAUUCCAGAUUGAAUCAAUACACCGAAGGACUCCCAUCCCGUGGUUUGCAUUGCAACCACAGAAUUGGUCCCCAAGAAUCAGAGAUAAUAUUUACAAAUAGAAACAGCAGAAAAUAUAGACAAGGCAAGACUUACGGAGCUCUAGCAGCAGAACAAGUCACCUAUAAUCAGAUUUUUCAGGAAAGAAUUGGCAUGUUAUAAAAUUGCUCUUCUCCUGGUGUAGUUUCCAAAUUGCCGCUUCUUGCAAGAAAAGGACCAUAUAUCAUUGAAAUGGACCCGCUGCAGGUAGCCCCAAAAGGCGAAGUAUAGUUCACAAAAAUAUGUUUUGUUAAUGGUUGAUCAACUAGUGCAAUGCAUAGUGGAUGAAUGACCUUCAUUGUCCAGGAUGUUGUAAAUGUUUUUAUUGCAUCUGCCAGCUAUAAAAUGCCUCCCGAGUCCCGACACUCAGCACAUUGCAUGCAAAGCCAAAGAUGGUGAUCCAUUGAGCGAGAGAGCAUAUUGCCCAGCUAUCCAGAGCUUGAAGGAACCAAAGGUCUAUGUUGAGUUGUUGACACGGCAACUGUCUAAUGUGGAUGCUAAUUAAUGGUCAUCUAGCAAGGCAUGAGAGGCAUCUGGAUUGGAAAUAUACUUGAAAGCAGAAAUUUCGUAAGUGUUUGAUGAAUCUGUAGAUCCGAGAAACUGAAUGAACGGGUAGCAUAGUGUCUCCUUAGUCUGGACCCCCCAAGCUGUAUCUCCAGUGUGUCUCCUCACCUUCCAUGACCACAACUAAAAUUAAUGUAGCAAAGACACAAUUAGAGCUCUUUUACAGUGCACAAUACUAGUACUUAGUGGUAUAAUAUAGACGAGAUCUAACCAUAAAAUUUAAUAAUUAUUAUAUUGUAAAAAGUGAGAUUUCAAAUGGAAUGAUCUUGUAAGAUACCAGCGGAGCUCAUGUAUUAUAGUGAUGCUAGUGUAAAAAAAUAUUAUAGUGAUGUCAUUUGUGUUUUUUUCCAUGAUACCUUUAUACCACAUAUAUUACUCAUGUAUAUUACCUAUAUUACAGGUGAAGUUUUCAGUAGUAUACAAUUAAUCUUGACCAUAUCAGGUGUUUUUAUACUUAGUCCUUUUCGAACACUAGUAUAACCUAGUAUUGUGCACCCUAAAAGAGUUCCACAAUUAAGAUUUCCUACCUACUGUAAGAUGGCUCCUGUACCUGGAAAACUGAAAUCUAGGACCACUGAGAACAGCAUCCAGGCGCGUGUAGAGCAACCAAGAAAAGGUUUCAUUUAGGUAUUCCUCUUAAAAUUUUGACAAAUCCUGUGGUGAACCCAUUGUUCACCAUGAAGAAAGGAACAUCCAUAUAUAAAUGAUACAUAGCCUAGCCAUGGCCCAAUCCAGUAAAUGAUUUGGAUACACUAGCUUCCAUAAAAUGGCUCCUACCCAUCAGCAAAUUGGAAGUCAAAAUGGUAAAUUACUUGGUUGCGAACUAAUCUUAUAUAAGAUGAGGAAGGAAUGAAAAUUAGGUUAUAGACUCCCAUGCAUAUGCUGAUAAUGCAAGUAUGCAACAGGCCACAAGGAGAUCCUACUUGGCUGUCUAGCUAGGACCUAGAAAUGAGAGGCAUCAGGAUUAUCAGUCAGCCAGCUGGCCUAACAUAUGUCGCUAAAUGGAGAUCUGGCCCAAAGAUAUUCUACAAUAUAAUUGGAAAAAGGAGAAAGAAUGCAAGAGUGAUGAGGGUUGGUGGUAGUCCAACAACCGUACAUCACGGUGCCGAGAAGCCUAAGGUGGUAGUACAAGCAGGGAAGAUCAAUGUCGGAGCUGGAACCUGGCUCAAUGGCAAAUUGUCACCACCUUGUCUACCUUGUCUACCUCAGAUAUGCCGCCACAACCUUGAAACCAGGGGCGGAGCUACAGGUGGUCCCUGUGGGCAACGAACCACCCUGAAUUUCUAGCCCAAGCCCAUUGCCAUAUGACUGUUCUGAUCAUGGAUAGAUAAAAUGAUGCCAUUGCCGCCAUUUCUGGCAUCUCUCCUUCAAUCUUUUGAUUUGAUCAUAUUAUGUUUGACAAAUUUUACAUAUACUUGUAUUAUGACAUAUUACAUUUUAUAGUGUAAAAAGAUUAUAUGUUAAGUUGGACCACCCUAGUCUCAGAUCCUAGUUACGCCACUGCUUGGAACCGUGCAGUGGCACGCAUCCUUUGGGUUAAGAUAGCUCAAAGUGGGUUACAAACCAUGCAUACAUCAAAAGACCUCAAGUUGUCUGGUUAUCUAGGCGCAUGGCAGGCACCAGGAUUUGAACUAUGUACACCUUCUUUGUCCAUCCAUAUUGUUCUCAAACUGAAAACCUGUAAAAGAUUUCGAGAGUAGGAGUCAACGGUGGAUGGGAUGAUUGUGAUUUUCCUGAAGAUGUGUGGAACUCAUAUUGGAAGCAUCACCUGUGUUUGGCUUUCAAAAGCCAAGAUGCAUUCUCAUCCAUCCAUAUUGAAUGAGCGAAUUAGCUCAACUUUACUAUAGAUAUUUUUCUUUCAUGAGUUUUGUGUGAAGUGUUUCUCUUGAAAAAAAAACAAUUUCUCUUUACAAGUGUUACGUGACGUGCAAGUUGGGUGUUGACAUAGCUAGGCUUCUGUGUCUAUAGUUAGAUGACUGGACACGAACUUUAAGCAUCUUUUAGGAAAAUAUGAGCGAGUACAAUAUGUUUAGAAAAGCAAGUAAACUAUGGGAUUUAUAUUUUGUGGUGCAUAUUUUCCCCCCUUUUUGGAGUUUUAUAUGUGGUGGAAUUGAGUGCAGACACAUGGUACAUAGACUACAAAUAGACACGUAGAACAACAGAAAAGCGUUUUCACUUGAUUUAUCUGAACUACUCUUGUUUACGGUCGCAUUAUCUUUUCUUUCUCUACCAAAGGACUAAGUGAGAUGACAUAUGCAUAAGCAUAGAGUAAUUAACAAAUUAAACACCCACAUUUGCAAUAUUACUACUGUCAGGGCUUAUUAUCACAUUAUUAAUCCCACUGAUCUCUGUCAUUUUCUACUGAAUUAUUUCUCCGUUGAAAGAUUGAUGAAAUAAACAGAAAGAACGCAAUAGGUAAAUUGUCAGGUGCACCAUCCAUGUGCUGGGCUGCCUAUAAAACAGCCUCUUGAUCUCAGCACGUUUAUGCAAAGAUGCAAACUAUUGACAAAACAUCUAGUAGCAAUAUAUAUUGAUGUGAAAAAGAAUGAAGAGAUAUAUGAAGCAGACUUACUCUAGGCAUGUUACACACUUUUCCUUUGUUUAGGUCGGAACCUUUAAAUCUAGCCAUUCAGUGAGUAUGAGGUUAUACAUCGGUCUAUCACAAAUGCCUACUUGAGGAGCAUCUUGGCAUGUGAAGCAUCAGGAAUCAAGAUGCAGAGCAAAGAAGGCAGCAGCGCUGCUGGCUGGCAUUCUAGAGGCACUGAUGGCGCGGCUGGGGGAUGGACCAUGCGUCCGGCUCGUACCAUACUACCAUUGAUAUAAGUCAGCGGAACCCACAAAGGUUGCUGUCCUUCGUGACUUUGCCAUGCCCUGACCACAAAGGUUGUAACUUCCGUUAGCAGCCACUUCCUGCAAAGGCGUCAACAAGCUGUUCCUGUCUCCCAAAUAGACAUGGCAGCUGCCAGCUGAGAGAUGGCAACAGGCUCGGUUGUGCGUACGUACACCUUGAAGAAAGAGUUGAAAUUUGGUACCAUUAGGGAUUGUCUCAGGAAGGGUGCUCUUUGACUGGUCCAUAAAGUUUAUACAUAGUAAAACUAGCUAGCAGUUAAAAAAAAUGCUGAUGCCUUUAGUUUUUUAUUUGUAAGUAGCUUCUAUUUUUCAAAUGGUGUUUCGGUUCAUUCUUGAUGAAAUAGCAAAACAUGGAAGGAAAAAUUGUAAACAGAAAUAUGUCAUCGAUGCAAUAUUAUAAAUGAUUUGGUCACAUGCUCACAUCUACCAACUACGAAAAAUGUGUAUGAUGCUUUAACAAACUGCCACUCAAAAUGUUAUGAACAUUGACAAGAGCGUACCAAGGCGACAAUCUAGAGGAACUAACGGAAAAUAGGGUUACUCUCCCGCCGAUGCAUUUGAUAAUGCAGCUGUUCAUGCGGAAUCUAAUGAAAAUUGUGAAAAUGAGUAUGAGAGGCCUCUUCAUCAAUUAAACUUAAAUUAUGAGCUACAGGAGGCAUUUUUUUUGUUUGUUCUCUAGAUAUAUCUAACCAAAUAAGUAGCCUCUUCUGUAUGGAUGCUCGACUGUUUCUCAAGGCUUUGUAUCAUAACCUGCAUUUGCUCGAGCAUUGAAAUUUAUCGGAUAUGGGAGGAUACUUUCUGGCUGGAAUAUAUAACAUAGUUACGACUCUUUGUGUUUUUCUGUACUCGCCGAGAAUCACAUUAUUGCUUGCUAUGACGUUUCAUAGUACGAGAUGCCGUAAAUGUUCAAUGCACCCACUUAGUAUAAAAUGGCUCCUACUACGCCUCGACACUUUGCAAUCCAAAGACAGGCAAACCAUUGAGAUGAGCAGGCGCAGUUCAAUUUGGUGCAUAAUAAUGUUGAUGUAACAGAAGUCCACGUGGUAGUCAAGUCAUUUGGAUGCUAAGAGGCAGUCUACUACCUAGGAAUGAAAGGCAUCAGGAUGAUAAGCUUGACGAACAUGCAUGCUGUGAGCUAAUCAGCAACAAAGUGUGGAUAGCAUAUAUACAGGUGUGAGCUUACAUCCUUUGUGUGAAUGGAAAAGGUAGUUGCUAGCCAUCUUGAAGAGCAUGGUCUUAGAUGUGGAGGAAAUGAGAAACUACAUACUGAGGGUUUGUUUAUCAUUUGCUUGUACAUAGAAUGAAUUACAAAAUAACUACACUCAGCAUGCAAAUCGCACCUGAAAACUUCCUGCUCAUUAAACACUUGCACAGAAUAUGCUGCCAAGCGAUUAGUGGACCUGCAACAUAAGGUGUUCUUGUGCCAAUUUUUCGUGUGGCCUACAAAGCAAAACAGAUAGUGAACCCCGCAUAAUAGGCUAGCGCAUCGAGGUUAGAGGGGAUGGCGGCGCAACACACCUUCUGCCCUUGUGCAGGCAGAAAUGCAGGACAGCAGACGUAUUUGAGCAGCGAGAUUGCACAAUGGGUGGCCAAAAACAAAACAUCCGCUUGGAAAGGUGCAUGGCACACUAGUGGACGGCUAACUAUAGGCUAUAGCAACUCUGCCGUCAGUCUAAAAAAUAAAACUGUCUGAAUGCUCAUCGUGCCUAUUGUAAUUAAUAAGCUAGGAAUCAUAUGCAAAGAUUUCUCAACCGUAAGGAAUCAUCAGUGGCCGUGCUUCUGGGCUUCUGGCAAAGGCAGAAGAGGGUCUCAGGACUCGAUCGGCUGCAGGGGCCAAAUGUCUUCGCGGAUCUUACCUAUCCACCUAGGAGAGUAGUUUUUUUGUUUCCUUCCUUCAUUUUUGUCUUUAAUGUUUUGCGUUAAAUUCGAUGUAAUUUGCAUGUCCAGGUCCAGCAAACAUAAUUUACUGGACAGGGGCAACGGUCUUUACAAUAGCCCAUAUGGCUGUACAUGUGUAAAUUGCUACAGUAUACACGUAGAGCGUUUUCUGAACACAAUGACUUGGAAGAUGAUCGAAUCAAUGAACACAGGAGUAGUGGAGCUGAAGCAGCCAGACAGGGGCGGAUCCAGGGCCCGGGCUACCCGGGCUGCAGUCCGGGGCGAGACCAUGGAAUCCCUUUAACUUAUGUGCUGUUUAGCCUAACAAAAUGAGGCUUAGGAGACAAAAUUAGACUAUUUUAGGUGUGAUUCAACAGCUCAGCCCGGGGCGCAGCCCCGUUCUGGAUCCGCCCCUGCAGCCAGACACCUAAUAAGAGGCUAAGAGCACUCAAUGAGGCGAGUUGGCUUGCUCGACCUGGGCCUUUAUAAGUUACAGUAUGCUACAAUAUAGAAAAUGGAGUAGGUAGGAGAAAAAAUUUCACUUUGCAUGCUGCAGCAAGUGUUUAAGUUACAGCUCGCAGGCUAGUAUAAAAUGGCUGCUAGUACCGCCUCAUCAGUACAUUGCAGGCCGAAGGUCGCAAACCAUCGAGAAGAGUGGCCAGUGCAGCUAUCUACAGCAGUCCAGGCAGUGUGGAUGCUACGAUGCAGUCUAGCUAGGAACGAGAGGCAUCAGGAUAGUAAGCCUGCCGAGUGUGUUCAGGUGUACGGCGGCUCGGUUUUAUAGCCCGCCUUGGCGUGCAGGCCCAAGGCUGGAGGCGUGCGGACUCGAAGCGGGGGUGGCAUCGAAUCGAGCUCAAGUCCAGCUUGAGCGCGGCGCGGCACGGCGGAUGGGAUGACAGGCGGGCCCCGCCUAUCAUCGGGAGGCGGCGGAGGCCGGCGCGGGAGUGGGUCGGCACGGAGGAAGCGCGGGCCGCUACUGGGCUGGCCUAUCCUGCGAGCCGCUGCUGUUGAAGCCGGACCGAAAGGGGGAGUGGGCCAAAAGAAGAGAGAGAAAAAGAAAGGAAGAGAAAAGUUUUCCUAUUAUUUAAAAAGAUUCAAACAUGAAUUCAAAUACAAAUUUAAAUUCAAACAAUAAAAAAUCAAGCACCUACAUGAAUACAAUAAUAAACUCGUAUGAUUCAUUAAUUAAAUUUUAGAAAAACAUUUGAAUGCCUCGGAAAGUAAAUAAAACCUUAGAAAAUUCUUAGGUCCUUAUACACAAGCAAUUAAAUUCUAGCAAAUUUUAACAAAUUUUAUUAAUUUGCAAAAGUUGAAAAUUAGGAUGUUACAAAUCCUACCCCUUUAAGAUGAAUCUCGUCCUUGAGAUUCUGAUGGAUUAGCAAAGAGCUAGGAAAAUUAUGCCUUUAGUUCAUCCUCUCUUUCCCAUGUUGCCUCAUCCUCUACAUGGUGACUCCACUGUAUCUUGCACAUCUUGAUCACUCUGUUCCUAGUAACCCGUGCUAGAGUAUUCAAGAUUUUGAUAGGAUAUUCAGUGUUGGUGAGAUCAUCCUGUACAUUGAACUCCUCCAUAGGUAAUUGUUCCUCUGGAACUCUGAGGCACUUCUUUAGUUGAGAGAUAUGGAACACAUUAUGCACAUCUAAGAGCUGAUUGGGUAGCUCCAAUCGAUAAGCUACUUCUCCCAUUCUCUUUAGAACUUUGAAAGGUCCAAUAAAGCGAGGUGACAACUUUCCUUUAACCUUAAAUCUGCGCAUGGGUGACACCUUGAGAUAUAUGUAAUUAUCUUCCUCAAAGGUCAAUUCUCUCCUCCUAGUAUGUGCUCUCUGAUGAUCUGAACCUGUCGUUCAGCUUCCUGGAUAUUAUCUCUAACCUAAACAACUGACUUUCUCCUGUCUAAGUUACAGUAUGCUACAAUAUAGAAAAUGGAGUAGGUAGGAGAAAAAACUUCACUUUGCAUGCUGCAGCAAGUGUUUUGAGUUACAGCUCCCAGGCUAGUAUAAAAUGGCUGCUAGUACCCCCUCAUCAGUACAUUGCAGGCCGAAGGUCGCAAACCAUCGAAAAGAGUGGCCAGUGCGGCUACCUACAGCAGUCCAGGCAGUGUGGAUGCUACGAUGCAGUUUAGCUAGGAACGAGAGGCAUCAGGAUAGUAAGCCUGCCGAGUGUGUUCAGGUGUACAGUAUCAAUAAGCAGAAAAUCUGGAGACAUAUUCUGAAACCGGAGGCUCAGGAAAUUUCCAGGCUCAGUACCCCGGAGGCAAAGCUGUUCCUAUCUCCUGGAUCAAAUGACAAAGACAUUGUUUGUGAAGAAAGAGGUGAAUUUUCCUGGAUAAAACAUUUGAUUUGUGUAACAGGAAAGAUUUCCCACUCCUUAGCCGUAAAGAUAUGUGGCCAUGAAAAAAAGGAGGGGAUUCAGUGGAACAUGAUUGGCCGGGCGGUAGAGCUGUAGAAACACUUGUUGAUUCCUAUUUUGGAUCCUAACUCCAUAGAACAAUAUGCUAUUGCGGAAACACUUGUUGAUGGAUGAACCUAGAAAGGAAGUUUCGUCUUUCUAAGGAAAAGAGGAAUGAAAUGCACUUUAUGUGAAAAAUAUGGGGAUUAAAAUUCUAUCCAUCUGCUUCCCCUCUCUGUAUAUAUAGUGUAAUUGAGUGCUGAAAGAAUGAAAGCUCAGAACGCACAACACACACGUCUGUAUAUAUAGUGCAAUUGAAUGCUGAAAGAAUGAAAGCUCAGAACGCACAACACACACGUAUUAUAAUCAUAGAAAAGCGUAAAACUACCCACUUGAGGAUUUAUCAGAACUCCUGUUUGUUUAUGUCCCCAACAUCUUCAACUUCUCUACCAACGUAUGCUAAGGUCCCGUUUGGGAGGACUUAUUUCGUCUUCGGCUUCAUCUGUUUUGCACAAAACGAGGCAAUGUAGCGUGAAGCUGUUUUCUAAACUAAGGUUAAAAUGAAUUAGAAGCCAGGUAAAACCACUAUUUUUAGCUUCACCGACUUUGACUUCACUAGUAAAUUAGAUUGCCUGCUCAAACAUAGAGUAACUAAGCAGCUUCACGUUUCUUGCAACGGCCGGUGCUUCUUGUCACAACACUGAUCCAAUUGGUGUUUCCAUUUUCUUUCUCUGAACUAUACAUGCCUGGUCGAUUAGUUGGUGAAAAAGUACAGCAGAAAUCAAACAAAUUAGGUAGAGCCGUCAGCCCGUCAGGUGCUAGCUGCUGACUAUAAAAUAACCUGGGGGUCUGCAGUGCUUUAUAUGCCCUGUGAGAUUUGAGAAACUUGCAAAAACCGGAGCAUUUUACACAUUAUUCGAUUUUUAGGUCAGAACUUUGGAUUGAAACCGAUCAACAUAUGUGAGGUUGAUUCAUGGGUCCGUCAUAUAUACUUCCUAGUUUAGUUCCUUUACAUAAGGACCGUCUGGGCAUGUGAGGCACCAGGAAACAAGACGGGUAGCAAAGAAGAAAGCGAGAAUGCUGGGCGAGCGGAACGGAGUGAGGAGUGAGAGGUAGCUCAAGAUCUCGCGCUCUUGCUCCGUACUUCCUUGUCAGUCUCCUUGACAGCACGCUCCAGCAAGAGGCUCCCCGUAUCCUUCUGCCAACUCCCACUGUUCCGUAACUGACGGGGAUUGCCGGACUGGGCAAGAAGGUAUUUUCACCUCGGCACCGAGGGCAAUCGAGGGAUUGAGGUUGCGGACAGGAACCUGAGUCCCUGGAUGUGGUGGGACUGCGUGCUGCUCUUGUCGAGCAUACUUUUCUCUACCUCGUUAGUAUUGAUUGAAGUGUAAGUAGUCGACAUUUAGUUAUAAAGAAUGCUUUUCUCUACCUCGUUCAUGCCUUGGUGGACCACUUUCUUCGGUACUCGGAAAUCGAGAUGAAUGCCAAACCAAGCGGUAGAAAGAGAAUGGACAGACGGCACAGACUCGAUCCAACACACUGCUUCACUCCCAAGACACUAAAGAAACAAAAACUGCAUGAUAAAAACGAUGAAAAUCGCUAUACUCCUCAAACAUCUCAUGCACGCAAGAACGUGAUUUGUUCGGAUCGUUGAUGACAUCAUACCCCCGUAUUAUGAAAUAUUUUCGUAAAUGUCCAUGACUAUUGCAUUGGUUGGAAGCAUCUUGAACCAAUAUUUUUUUUCUUAAUAUGCACAACUUAGUGCUUAUAUUUUUAUGUGCUUAAAUACGCCAACCUCAUAAUUCUCUAUGUAAAUAAUGAUGGGAAAAUAAAUAUUUUGUAAAUUACUGCAUCCCAUGUGGGAAACAUCAAUUAUUUUCUCAUAAAUUUGGAAAGUAUUUUGGUUCCAUAAAAAUUCAAUAUUUUUCAAAAGUAGUCUAGUUUGGUGAAUUUAAUUGAAAAUUGCAAAGGUACAUGUGUGUUUUUAAGCAAAAUGGGUUCAUCUCCAUUGAUUCUAUGAAAAAAAAAGUUUUAAGAUGAUUUGGUGGUCGUAUCGCCCAACUUAAUUGAUAGAAGUGAUGAAAAUGUCAAAUAAGAAAUGAAAUUUACAACUCCCGUAUCAAAUAAGGUUGUUUCGCUCGACUUAACUUACUUCCGAUCGUGCUUGAUUCUCGGUACCACCUGAUGUUUCAAUCUAAAAUGUAACUCCUAAGAAACAAUAUUGACGAAACGGACUGUUUCCUAAGAAGAAAAACCAGUAUUUUCCCUGCUUUUAUUUCAUUAUGGUCCCAACCUCUUCAACUACCAUAUCACGGGAUACAGUAAUCAAGUGCUGCUUGUUGUCACACCACCAAUCCCAUUGGUCUUGCAAUUUAUUUUGUGGAAAAAAAACAACAAUCUCGGUUGUUGAAUUAAUGACAUAGUACUAUAUAAAAGUACCACGGUAUAUAUGUCAUUAAGUGUUGCUUCCUAUAAAAUGGCUUCUGGAUCUUAGCACGUUUAUACAUACUUGAAAAGCAUAACUAAACAUCUGGUGAUCUGGUAUGCCCUUCUCCCUGUACACAGUAUAUAUACUGAUGUGAAAAAGAAAGAAAAGAUGAGGUAACAUUGUUUCCGUCUCCCUGUGUGGCUUCAGGAAGUGCAGCCUCUUAAAAUAACCAAUGCUUGCCACACACCUCUUUCUCUUGUUUAUGUCCUUUUGAACAAAUCAGUAGUUGAUACAUCGAUCAUGCUUCCAACUCAGGGGCUUCCCGGGCAUGUGAGGCAUCACGAAGUAAGAAGGGGAGCAAAGAAGAGGGUGCCACUGAUGCGUAGCACAACUUUGUCCUUAAUCACCACUUCCAACUCAUAUCGAUGAGCCUAAUGCCAGUACCAAACCACCCGUAAGCGUUGAUCUACACUUUGUCGGAGCAUAUCGAUCCAAAGACGGGCGUCAAUCUUGCUCACUUGGUGAUCUGCAUUCUCUUGAAGACGAAAUGAGAGGGGAGACAAGAUUGUAAUCAAACAAUUGCUUCCUUCGCUGCUUUUUAUAGAAAGCAUAAGGCUCCCCACUGCUUAGGUUUUGCACCACUUUAUUUUGCUACCACCUGAGCCCCGUUGUGUUCCAGAGUAUGCAGAGACUGAUGCUGAUUAAGCCUUCCAAGAUCAGCCAAUGCAAAUUAACUGUCUCCUGUAUUUCAGCGAAUUAGAAUCCAGAACAGUUAAAGAUCGAAGUGUUCAUGCGGUAUUUGAAAAAAGGAGUUGUUGUAACAAAGGAUAAUCUUGCUAAAAGAAGAUGGCAAGGAAGUACCCAGUGCUGUUUUUUUAACUCUGAGGAGCUGUACAACUCUUGUUUUUUGACUGUCAUAUGGCAAUGUUCAUUUGGAAUGUUGUAUAUCUCUCGUUUGGAAUUCAACCGCCUACUAGUGUGUCCAAUUUGUUGGGAUCUUGGCUUAGAAGCUUUUCCUGCAGAUUAGAAAACAAAUUCUUGUAGGCGCUUCGGCUUUAUGUUUGGCCAUUUGGUUGAAUAGAAAUAAGGUGGUGUUCAAAUGAACCAUUCCUAAUUUGUCCAUUUUGUUGAAUAGAAAUGAGGAGGAGAAAAUUACUCUGAAGGAGAAUUGUCGCAAGUUGGAUUUCUUCAACAAGUAUGGAUGGAAUUUCAGGAGAAAACUUCAAGCCUAGUGCUUUUAGUCUCAGUGUCUCUGGAAUUUGCUUUUAAGGGGUUAUGUUGGAAUCACGAUCGCUUCUAAAUCUGUGGCCGUAAACAUUCACUUGUGAAUGGUAAUUAAAAAAGAAUCCAGAACAGUACGAGUGGCUUCACAAAUUUACCAUCGCCAACUUUGGCUUCGAAAAAUUACCAUUUACAUCGUCCGGCACCUUGAUUACUCUGCCAUUUUGCUUCUUUUAUUCAUUUUCCUUCUUGAUUCAAUGGCAUAAAAAAAACUAAGUGACCCCCCACAUUCCUUGAAACUAUUAGUGCUGCUUAUACAUCAUUGACCCCAUUUGUAUUUUGCAUUUUUUUUCUCAGAAUAUCGACUUGGCUGAUGGAUUGAAUGAUUGAUGAUGAAAUGGUACUACUACGGGAACCACAUGAUAGGUUAGGUACAAAUGCUAUCAGGUAUUGCUGAGCAGAGCUGCCUGUAAAAAUGGCCUCUGGAUCUCAGCAGUUUACACACCAAAAAAAUAGCAAGAUAUUGACAUUGACAAGAACAUCUCGUAGCUAUAUUAACGUGGAAAGAAUGAAGAGAAGGAGCUGCACCGCCUUCUCCCUGCGUGGCUUAUGAAACUGCAGCUCCUUACAGUAACUGAUGCCCAUCACAAGCACAUCUCUCAUGUUUAGGUCAAAAUUAAGCUUAUCUUUGGAUCCAAUCACGGUUCGAGGGCAUCUGAGGAUGUGAAGCAUCAGGAAACAAGAUGGCGAGCAUCAGGAAAUAAGAUGUGAAGCAUUUUUGCCCGGUAGGAACAUUUUGGAGGGUGCAGUGAUUCUCCAUGAAACAUUACAUGAGCUUCACACAAAAAAAAUAGAAUGGUGUGCUUUUAAAGAUAGACUUUGAAAAAACUUAUGACAAGGUUAAAUGGGAAUUUUUGCAACAAACCUUCUAAGGGUUUUGACCAAAAGUGGUGCGAGUGGGUUAAAUCAUUUGGUAAAGGGGGUAAUGUGGGCAUUAAAGUGAAUGAUGAAUUGGGACCAUACUUGCAAACAAAGAAGGGAUUUAGACAGGGUGAUCCAUUAUCUCCGAUGCUUUUCAACAUUGUUGUCAUAUGUUGGCCAUUGUGGCUAGAGCUAAAGACGUGAAAGGGGUAGUACCAAAUUUAAUUGAUGGCGGUUUGUUGAUUCUCCAAUAUACGGAUGAUACAAUUAUUUUUAUGGACCAUGAUAUUGAACAAGCAAAGAGCAUGAGCUCCUCCUCUGUGCCUUUGAAUAAUUAUCACGUCUUAAAAUUAAUUUUCACAAAAGUGAAAUUUUCUGCUUUGGGGAUGCAAGGAACUGUGAAUCUCAAUAUUCACAACUUUUUGGUUGUAAAAUAGGUUCUUAUCCUUUCGCUACUUGGGGAUCCCAAUGCAUUAUAGAAAAUUAUAAAACAAGGAUCGGAAGUCAAUAGAGGAUAGAAUAGAGAAAAAAUUAAGUAGGUGGAAAGGAAAACUUCUAUCAGUAGGGGGACAUCUAGUCUUGAUAAACUCGGUUCUCUCUAGCUUCCCUAUGUUCAUGCUCUCUUUUUUUCGAGGGGAGUCCUCAAAAAUUUGAAUACUUAUAGGUUGAGAUUCUUUUGGCAGAAUGAUCAACAUAAAAAUAAAUAUAGAUUGGUUAGAUGGAAUAUGCUACGUCAAGAUCUUGUAUCCCUAUACAGUUGCAUGUACAGCUGAAAAUACAGUACCCUAAUCUGUUUAAUAUAGUAUGAAGAAAACAUGCAAUGGAGACAGAGGUACUCAAUUCGAUCCCAUGUCUCAUUCUGGAGAGCGCUAGUUGGGGACAAGUUAACCGAGUGGUAUAGCUUGGUUGCGUGACUUGUACGUAUUAAUCUAAAUGAGGGUAGGGAUUUUUUUUUUCUUUGGGACUUACAAAAGAAUGGGGCAUUCACAGUUAAUUCAAUGUAUAUGCACCUAGAGCUACGCAAGAAAUUUGACGUAUGAAGAUUCCUCUCAGAAUAAAAAUUUUUAGGUGGUAUCUUGAAAGGGGAGUGAUCCAGACAAAAGAUAAGAAGGAAUCGAAAAGGAAGUAAAACUUGUUGCUUCUGUAGCAAGCAAGAAACUAUCCAUCACCUAUUUUUUGAGUGUCAUUAUGCAAAAAUUUCUAUAGCGUGCAAUCCACAUUGUAUUAGAUAUAUCUCCACCUGUAAACACAGAACAUCUUUUUAGUAGUUGGUCUAAACAGGGGUACUGGAGCACAAUUUAUCAUUAUUGACAGGAGCUGCAGCUAUUUUUUUGGGCAAUUUGGCUCACAAGAAACGAUUUUGUAUUUAACAAGUGUAGACAAAAACUUCUUUGCAAGUUAUAUUCAGGGGACACACUGGCUACGGUUCUAGACUUGGUACACAUUGAUGACCGUAGGGAACAGCUAGUCGAGGCAAGCCAACUUCUGGAGUCAAGAGCUAUGUAGUUCUUUGCGUCUCAUGGAUGGCCUUUCUUUUUGUGAAUUGGCCAAUAAUGUUAAACAUUAUGAGUUAAACUUUGAGUGUAUUUGUAAUAAUUGUGGUCUGAUGCGUCUCUUACGAGGGGUUUGAAAUCGCAAUAUUUUUUCCAUUAUCUAAAAACUCUACACCGAGAUGGGUCAAGAGCUGGACGGAGACGUGUUCUUUCUCUCUGUUUUAUGUCAUCUUUUGUAUAUCUAUGGCGAGAUGUUAACAUAGAUGGCAUGCAAAAAUAAAGAGCAACUAAUUAACCCCCAUGUUUUUUGCUACAGUUGGUGCUCCAUAUAUGAGAGACUAAGUUGAGAAGUGACUUGGUCUAUUUAUGAUGAGUGAUUGACUGGAUGAUUUGAGAUUUUACCGGUUGAGUCCAUAUUUCAUAUGUGCAUGGUUAUGCUAACAGCUAACCGGAGGUGUUGUAUUGUAUGCGUUGUGUUGUGGUGUUUGUGUAAAAUAUAUUUUAUGUGUUGUGUCUCUUGGCUUGUGAUGUGCAGGUGUUGGAUGCGACAUGACGGUCGAUGGCAUGAGGUGAAGGUCAAGCAAAAGGUUCAUGCCGAUAUACUAGAACUGUGAAUAGUGGACACGAGUAGACUUGGACCGAGGGACCUGAGGAGUCCGGGUGGAGUCAUAGGCAAUCCACAUGGUACGCGGAAGAGCAAGAGUACACGGACAGAAUGGAGACGACAUCUAUCGAGUCAAGCGAGACGGAGGCAAGUCGAGUAGGCGGUCCGAGAGCGGGAGCGAAAGACGAGGCGUCGAAGGCUUAGCAGCCGAACACGCGUCGACAUCGGUGAGUCACGUCGUGUGCGGCGUGCGAGAGGGUUUGACCGAUUUGGCCUCAAAAUGGGGGGUGAGUCAUGCCUGCGGGGGGUGUGCAAGAGGGUUUGACCAGUUUGGCCUCAAAACGGAAGGUGAGUCACGCCUGCAGGGUGUGCAAAAGAGUUUGGUCGGUUUGGCCUCAAAAUCGGGGGGCGAGUCCGGUGCGGCCGGACGGCGUCGAGUCGGAAGACACGUGGUACCAUCGUGAAGCUUGCGUCGAGGUGAAGCAUAGUCAUGAACGCGUCAGGUCCGAUGAUGCUUUCCUAUUGCCGUUCUAAUCGGUUUCCACUCCGGAUGCCUACGUAGAUAUGGAGCUCUUGUAGGUUGUUUGGUGGUGGGGUUCUUAUAGAGCAUUUAGGUGAGAGAGGGAGAGAGAUGAGAGGGACUUUUGAUCUUAGUUUUUACUGUGCUUAACCGAAUAAGGUAGAGUAAUAAAGAUUCAUUCUCGUGCUUGCUUCACUUUGUCACCCGAGCGUUUUUCUUUUUCUGCGUUUUCGGGUGAUUUUCUUGUGAAUUUUCGUUCGUCGGUUUCGAGGACGAUUUGAGCCGGAUUUCCUGAGGGGUUUCGGUGCUAGGAUAUGUGAGAAGAUAUCUUGAUCAUCAAUUGAUCCUUUCCCCUCACGAGCAUCUCGAAUUUAAGGUUUUUCUAUGAGAUCCUCUUUUCUAGGUCUCUUCGGUUCUUUGCGAAAUUGAUGGGCAAAUCAUGAGCCACUUGGGUGAAUCUCUUAGCUGGUGAUUCAUCACAUCUCAUAGUGCCUACAGUUCAAAUCUUGUGUCAAUCGGAGUUGAUUUGGUCGAAUUCUGUGAAUUCGUGGUUGAGCUCGUCGGGCUGCUUUGUCUCUGGAAGUCAGCACCGUUUGGUCCGGUGCCGGUUCUAUUGCUUUGGGUCCUAGCCAUCGUAUGCUCCGGUGGAUCUGUUUUUCCUCGCGCUGAAUUUCUCUAGCUGUGUGCUCGAUCCUGCUCGGCUCUGUGCUUUAAGCGAUUCAGAGCAGCAGCAAAGCUUGGUCCUUUGUUUAUCGAUUUGCAAAUUGCAACAACUCAGCUGCAUCGUCUUUCAGGGAAUCAGUUCAGUCCUGUGCAAUAGUGUAGGGAUCAGAAAUAGCAGCAGCGGCUGUCUCUUCACUCUCGGUUUCCUGCAUCAGCGCAUUGCACUUUUAUUCUCUGUUCUUUGUUUUCUGUGUGCAGGUUUCAGACUGACAGUGGGAAUAGGCGAGCUGCUCAUCUUGGUGUUCGACAGAAAACCAUCAGUAGGUAGAGUAAUCACGGUGAGCUUGCAAGAUUAGAGUGAUUUGUGUUUCGGUCAACUACUAGCAAGCAAGUUCAUUGCGCUGUGCCGAUCUUGUGCAUGUGUUGACUGCCAGGAGCUCUCUAGCUUUAUUUUUGUCUGGCAUUUCGAUCAGUUCAGCUACUGAGUAUAGAAGUAAUCUUUGUGAUGUGUCAUUUUCGAGCUACAGUGAUGCAACAAUGAAUUGACUUCAAGCAAUCAUGAGCAAAUCAUUUGGGUAUUAAUUUAUUUGGUUUUGCUUGCUCAAGUGUGCUCGGGAAGGCUUUUAGGUGCUCUUAAUUUUCGUGCUGGCUGAUGUGUACUGCUUUUCAGUUUCAGUUCAGAACACAACAGCACGUACAGUAGUGGUACAGCAGCACUGGUGUUACAUGAGCUCUUGCAUGCUUUGUCUAGUUAGCUUGUUUAUUUUCAUAUGAUCAAUUAGAGCUCUUUUGACGGGUUAAUUUGGUGAGAGUUUCGUAACCUGUGUUGUCUUAUUUCACUUCCUCAUUGCUUUGAGAAUUCCUAAUCCAUUCCUAGGGUGACAUCGUCACUAGUUGGCUUGUGUCACCUUAGGUUUUAAUGUGAGAUGUGGUGGGGGUGGCAAUCGAGACAUAGGCUUGUGCUGGGAUAUCCCCCCUCCCCCUCCCCAGUCGCCCAUCCCGGCCCUUCAAUAUCAAUCACACAGAUUGUUUUAUAAUCUCACAGAUUGUUGGGCUCUUUUUUUUUCUUUCAAAUAAUGUCUUGGUUGAUGGAUUGAUGAAACAGUACAAUAGAAAGCACACGAUUGGUAGACACGGUUAUCUGCAUUGAUUUGCUGAGCUUCCUAUAAAAUGGCUUCUGGAUGGCAAGCUAUUGAUCUACAAGCACUCUAGUUGUAGAAGCUACGCUCAUCUGAAUAAUGAAGAGGUGAGUUAGCCACCGCAUUGCUCUUCCUCCUGUGCAGUCUAAGAAACUGCAGGUUCUUACGAAAACUGAGGCAUGUUACACACAUUUCCCCUUGGUUUAGGUUCAAAUUUCCGGAUCCAGUCAAUUCGUGAAUGUGAGGGGUCGAUCUAUCAUGCUUCAUAAUUACAGUAUGUAGCUGCAUCUCGGCAUGCGAAGCAUCAGGAAAUACGAUGUGCAAAAAAGAAGAAGGCGAGGCUGCUUGGUGGACAUACUUUGUUAUCGAUGUUGCUGCUGGAGAUGGACCAAGCAUUCGCAACAGACAUGGAUAUCCAUUCCCUCGGGCAGGACCCUAUGCCCUGCAAAGCCGAGUUCUUCACUAAGUACGCAGACGCCGACGCCCGUUAAGCCUUCCCCAAGAUUUCUGAACCACGCUCAUCUCUCCACGUGCAAGAACGAAUCAGAAAACCUGUGUGGGUGACAAACUGCAGGCACGCCGUCAGCAGCAACUUGCCAUGAAGGAUCGGAAACUCCUCGAUGAAAUAUUUCCUUUUCUAGCUUUUAUACAUGACAACUCAGGGGGUGAGAAUUCAUACUCGCAUUUCAGUCCGUCGUCAAUCUAGAUGAAAAAUAUCAAGACUUAAGGAAGCCUGCGUGUUGCCAUACUCAACUGAGGCCCCAAGAACCAGAUAGAAUUCACAAAUAACAACGUGGAAGAUAUAGACAAGGAAAAAACGCGUACAACACCAACAGCAGUGAGACUACAUGUAAAAAAAAUUACCUGCAUUUCUUUCUCAAAUAGAGAAAUUGAUGGGAUAUUGAACAAAAAUGUAUUGCUUUUCUUGCUGACUUAUUCAUUGUACCGGAUGCACUAAAUGCUCGAUGCACCUCCUUAGUAUAAAAUGUCUCCUACGCAUCAACACAUUCCAAGCCAAAUACGAUAGACCAUUGAGAAGAGCAGCCACUCCAACUACCUAGAGGCAAUCUCGAGCAUGCUGAUACUACAAAAGGCCAUGCGGUUGCUAAGAGGUCGUCUAGAAAGGAAUUGGAGGCGUCAGGGUGAUUAGCAAUGUUUGCGGUGAAGUAGAACUUGACUACAAAUUAGACUAGCACACUCUUGCAUUGUGUGCAUCCUUUUUUACACUUUCAGAGAUUUCGUAUACAGUGCAACUGCGUUCAUGCAUAACGGUACUCUCUACUGGCUUUGUAGCUGGAUCUAGAGCACAAAAUAGACAUGUAAAUCCACAGAGAACAUUAAAAAAUACCAUUUCUCCCCUGAUUUAUCUUUGUUUUGUGGUCAAUGGCAUGCAAAAACAGAGAACCCAAACUCCUUGCAACUAUUAGUACUUCUAAUACAUCAUUUACCCCAUUUCUUUUUAGCUCUUUUACGGUACACAAUACUAGGCUAUACUAGUAUUAGAAAAGGAGUAUCCGACGGUUAAGAUUAAUUGUAUACUAUUAAAACUUCACAUAUGGUAUGGGUAGUACACAUGAGUAGUAUAGGUAGUAUAAGUGUUUCAUGGUAAAAAAAAUACAAAUGGCAUCCCUAUAAUUUUAUUUUUGACACUAACAUAAAGUUUAAAAUACCAUUCAAUUUGAAAUCUCACUUUUUACAAUGAAAUAUUACUAAAUUACCCAUAAUAAUGAACAGCUAGAUCUAAGUAGUAGUAUUGUGUACCAUAAAAGAGCUCCUAUUUUUUGCUUUUUUUUGGAAUAUUGUCCUGGUUGGUGCAUUGAAUGAUUGAUGAUGAAAAAGGUACUUCAGAAAGCACGUGAUAGGUGCAGUACAGAUGUUAGGGUAAAGCUGAGCAGAGCUACCUAUAAAACCACUCUGGAUCUCAGCAGUUUGAACACAAAAGGAAUGGCAAGCUAUCGACAAGAACAUCUUGUAGCUUCUUUUUUUUUCGGAUAAUCUUGUAGUCAUAUUGCCGUGAAAAGAGCAAAAAGACGGUGUAACCUGCACUGCCUUCUCCCUGUGUGGCUUCUGAAACUGAAGCUUCUUUCAGAAACUGAUGCAAAUCACACGCAUCUCUCAUGUUUAGGUCGAAACCUUUGGAUCAAAACACAGUUCGAGGGCAUACGACAUACGAGCAUGUGAAGCAUCAGGAAACGAGAUGCCAGGCAAAAUCAGAAUCCAGGCGCCUUGAGUUUUCUUGAUUCUUGUAUAGGAGUGUUUGAGUGCUCCGAUAUGUUGUAAAGUUGACGAAAGUUGUUGUUUAGAUCCAUCUGGACUCUACUUCUUUUUAAUAUUGGCAGCUCUUCUGCCGAUUCGUUUCAAAAAAAAAAAAGAGUCCAGCGCCUUGAUGUCCACAGCAUGGUGGCCACUAUCAAGUUACUUUCUUCUACCCCAGGACGGGUCAAGAGCUGCACUGAGAUGCAGUAUUUUCUCUGUUCUGUUGAUAGAGCUAGGUAGAGCACUCGUAAAGCCAUAAAAAAGUAUAAAGAAAAUACUAAUUUGCCCCUGAUUAUAUUUACCGGUAAUUUUGUUUGUCGUCCCAGUAUCAUCUUCUGUGCUUAUCUGUCAUGGUAUGUUACAUUAGAUGGCAUGCAAAAACAAAGAGUAACUAAUUAACCCCCACGUCCUUGACACUGUCGGUGCUCCUUAUCGCGCCAUUCAUGAUCUCGCGGAUCUUUGGACUUUGGCUUCUUUUUUUAUCGACGUCUCGGUUGAUGGAUUGAUGAAACAGUACAAGAGAAAGCACACGGUAGGUAGUCCGGCCAUCUGCAUUGAUUUGCUCAGCUGCUUAUAAGAUGGCCUCUGGAUGGCAAGCUAUCAACCAAGCACUCUAGUAGCAGAGGCUACGUUGGUCUGAUAGAAAGAAUGAAGAGAGAUGAGGUAGACAGACUGCAUUGCUAGCUCUUCUCCUCGUUUAGUUUCAGAAAAACUGCAGCUUCUUACAAAACCUGAGGAAUGUUAGACGCAUUCUCCCCUGGUUUGGGUUCAAAACUUCUGGUCCCCUGGUUCUGGGCCUAUAUCAUACUUUAUAAUUGUAACAUGUUGGGGCAUCUGGGCAUGCGAGGCAUCAGCAAACAAGAUGUGCAGAGAAGGGGGCAAGGCUGCUGGAACACCAAACUGAGCCAUUGAUGGUGCCGUUUAAGGGUGUGGCCAUCAUGCUUCCUUCACAAUCCAACUCAGCCUAUCUAAUUUUAGCUCAAAAUCAUAUAUUAUUAUGGACCGACUUUUAUUAAGCCUGAUCCUUAAAUUUGCUAAGCUAAAUUAGAGGACCCUUUACCACCCCUCUGCCGCUGGAUAUGGAUCAAGCUUACACAAUGAACGUCUGUAACAACUCCAGCUGAUACAAUGAAGGGUCAAGAAACUCCUAGACUGUUCCGAACUGACAGCAGAGGGCACUGGACAGAAUUUGUAGUCGCAUUUCAGUCCUUCGUCAAUCUAGAUGAAAAUUCUCAGGACUUAAAUGAGCCUGAUAGCAUUAUUAACAACGCUGACGGAGACGGAGAACCAGCACGCUAUCAUGAUUAAUUUACGUAUAAACUACAAACCCCUUGUUUGCUCGCAUAUCAGCAGCCAGUGGUAGCAGAAUCCCCGUGUAAAACUUAAGCGAUGAAGUAGUGUCAACGGGAACUCUUGCAGCUGGGCAUCUGCGGUGCUUGGGCCUUAAUUGAAAUGGUCUUGUUGGAUGCAAUAAAUCAUUUGGUCACAUCCAUUCGUCCAAUAGCUACUACAAAAUGUCUCUGGCCCCUCAACAAGAGCACCUAGAGUAUCUAGAGAUGAAUGAGCGGAAAAUAGGUUUUAACCUCCAACGCAAGUUUGUACUACAGCUGCUCAACAUGCGGAAUCUAAUGCGUUGUCUAGGUGGGUACGAGAGGCAUCAGGUUGUUUAAGUCAGCCUAGCGCCCUAUGAGUGUUGCUAUAAAUCACUGGUGUAGGUCGUUUAAGGAUGAUAUAUUAUAUUUAGAACUAGACUAGAGAUACUGAGUUAAAGGUAUCCUUGGAGAUGCGACAAGUGUUAUUGUAUAGCUUAGUAUUGUGUACCGUAAAAGAGAUCACUUUUCCGCUAGCUAGCUUGGACUCUUUUGAAAAGAUAUCAUCAUAAUUUGAAUGUGUUUUUUUUAAACGAACCGGCAGUAGGGGCUGCCUGUUAUAUUAAAAAAAGGGGAGUCCAGGCGGCCAAGAUUUACAGAUAUAUUAUGAACAAAUCUAGCUAAGUGUUCUGCUGCUCCCGCCAUAAUCCAGUUUGCCGCCUCAUCUUUUAUCCGCGUGGCGACCACCAUAGAUGGUGCCUCUAGAUGAUUGAAAAUGCGGUCAUUGCACUCUUUCCAGAUCUCCCAGCAGAUCAGGAUGGUAAUGGUAAUCGACCUCAUUGCAUAAUUUGAAUGUGCUAAUCCGCCAAAACUUUGUUGCGUGAAUUUAAACUGCGGAGUGCAAUUUAUUCUCCAGGUGUGUAUGAAGUCCAUUCUGACUGUCUUCCUCGUUGGAAUUCACCAGCUUCCCAUGCCAACAUGCACCAGAUUAUCUAUUCACAGCGAGCUAUAAAAUCGAAACGGAGACUGAACUAACAUCAUCUGUAUAUAUUCUCGAUUGUUUUUUCAAUUGUGUCGGUCAUAACCUUCUUUUUUUCUCAAAUAGGGAAACUGACGUGAUAUGGAAAAAUGCUUUCCCAGAAGGAAGAAAAACAGAUAUAGCUACUCUAUUGAAUUUGUUACUCUCGCCAAGCAUCACUUUUCUUGCUAACACUUCACUCUAUGGGAUGCACUAAAUCUUUAAUACACCUACAUAGAUAAAAUGGCUCCUACGCCUCAACACAUUGAGAGCCAAGAUGGUAGAUCAUUGAGAACAGCAGCCCCUCCAACUAUCUAGAGGUAAUCUCAUGCAUGCUUAUAUACUGCAAAUACAAGCCAUGCGGUUGCUAAGACUAAGAGGCUGUCUGUCUAGCUAGGAACAGGAGGCAUCAGGAUGAUAAGCUUACCACCAAUCAGUUCUCUUUUAUCAGAAAGGAGACAAUCUCGAGACAUUCUGCAACCCAAGACUACAUAACCAUUGAUGUAUGAAACUAAAGUUUUGCAAAGAAUCUUGUCCGCAAGAUUUCCGAUAAUGAAGUAAAAUUUGAUUACAAAGUAGACUACAGCAUUUACUUUUGGUGACUCUUUUUUACCGUUCAGAGAUUUUGCACAUGGUGCAACAGAGUGCAUGCUUAAUGGUACUCUCUCCCUGCUUUGUUGAUGGAGCUAGAACACACAAUAGACAUCGGGGCGAAUCAUUAAAAAUAGUUUCCCCCCUGAUUUAUCUGUAUUUUUUUGUGGUCCAAAUAUCUUCUACCUCUCUCUAACGAGAUGUCAAAUUCAAUGGCAUGCAAAAAAAAACAGAGAAACCACAUAUCCCCUAGAAUUCUGGCAACUGUCAGUGCUUCUUAUACAUCAUUGACCUCAUUUAUCUUUUGCAUUCUUUUUCGGAAUAUUGUCCUGUUGAUGGAUGGACGAUUCAAAAGCAUAUAAACAGCUCAUUGGUCAUAGGCAAAUCCAUCCUGUUUUUCAAUGGACCUGGAAGUCUUCAUGCCAGCCAAAGCUAGCAUAAGGUGAUCUUCUUCUGGUUGCUCCUGAAAGAUCACCUUAGCACCAGGAACAUUCUUCGAAAAAAGAAGAUGGUCAUGCCUUUCUAUAAUUGUGUCUUAUGCCCUUAUAUGGGUGAGGAACUUCUUGAGCACCUCUUUCUGCAUUGCCCCUUCGCGCAGGACUGCUGUGGAUGAUACUAAAUUCUCCAUAUAGAUAUUGCCUUCGAUCCGUAUGACAUCCUGGUCAGUCUUAGGACGCAACUUCAGCUGCCGUUCUUCAUGGAAGUAAUUAUCCUCAUGCCGCUCUCGGUUCAAGAAUGAAUUUGCUAUGGUUAUUAGCACACGACCGUACGUCCAGUGCCGGCACCAUAUGCCAUAUCAUGUGUCCCAUGUCGUGUGUCCCAUCCAGAGUCCACACGCGUCAUGCGCCAUAUGCCCGCCUACUGACUCAUACACGCAACCGCGAGGGUCGGCUCUGAUACCAUUUGUAACAUCCCGUCCUCCAAAACCGCUCCGCCCCGCCCUUCCAGGAUGAGCACACAUACACAUAGCAUUUUGCUUACACUUUCGUCCUCGCUUCGUGUAAAAGGAUUAACCUGAAGGUGCUAUGGCUAAUUGACAAAGGCUUAUAAGUUGGCUCCACCCUUGCUCAACUAGCAAGAUGGUACUAACAUACGUACUUGCGCUCAUGGACCAUGUUGGGCCAACCAAAUUGGACCGGGUGUCAAUCUUGUAAUCUUUCUGAUUUUCUUUGUAUCCUUCUUUGUUUCUUAGUUACAUCCUCCCCAUGUAAUGUAACGUAAUAUAUAUAUAUAUAUAUAUAUAUAUAUAUAUAUAUAUAUAUAUUGACACACUCCUGUUUCAUAAAAAAAAAUGAUUGGUAGUUCGGAAAGCACAUGGUAGGUGUAGGUACAAAUUUUAGCAGGUAUUUCUGAGCUGAGUUGUCUAUAAAAAUGACCUCUGGGUCUCAGGUGUUUACACACAAACAAAAUUUCAAGCUAUUUGACAAGAACUUCUUGUUAGUUUUUGCUAUAUGGACAUGUAAAGAACAAAGAGAUGAGAUAACCUUGCACUGUCCUCCUCCCUGUGUGGCUUCUGAAGGUGAAGCUUCUUGCAAAAACUGGUGCGAAGGCAUCUUUCUCAUCUUUUGGUCGGAACCUUUUUAUCGAAUCACUGUCAUAGGGACGUGUGAAGCAUCAGGAAAGAAGUCGGGAAACAAAGAAGGAGAUCACGGCCUUGAUGUCCACAAAAUGGCAGCAUUCUCUACUCCGAGACAGGUCAAGAAGGUCGAUCAGAUAUUCAAGGCUGAUCUAGCAAUACGUGGCAACUGGAAGUAGAUGGCAGACCAAAGAGAAUAUGUACUCAGGAUCUCCUUGAAACUUUGUUGGAACCAUAGAAUUGAGGGAGGGCCCGAUAACAUGAUAACAUACAUCAAAAAGUAACAACACACAAAAUAUGGACAAGGCAGGCAAGACGUACGUAAGCAACACCAGCAGCGUCGCAAGAACAAAUCACUUUGCAAGACAGGCAACCAGCACGCAUCGUAAUUUACAUGAACCGGUGGUAGCGGCGGUAGCACUAGCACAGCAAAAACAAGAAGUGAUUUAUAUUAGUAACCCUCACAUUUAUUUCUUGCAACUGUAUGUCGGUGCUUCUCAUCUCGCAUUAUAUUAUUGAUCGCACUGGUUUCUGGCUUUAUGUUUUAAUAACAAUGUCUUGGUUGAUGGAUCCAUGAAGUUCGUAGCUUCGUACAACAGGAGGAAUUGAAACACGGUUGGUACAGCGGUGAGCUGCCUAUGAAGAUCGAGGCAUUCCUCUUCUCCCUGUGUAUUUUCAGAAACUGCAGCUUCUUACGAAAAUUGAGGCACACAUUUUCCCCUGCUUUAGGUCCAAAACUCAUCUGGGCAUGCGAUGCAUCAGCGAAGAAGAUGGGGAGAGAAGACGAAGGCGAGGUGCGCAGUAAAGAUCCUGAAGACGCAGGGGACCAACGCCUUUAGAGUUGCCAAGAUCAUUUAUCUCCUUCCAGCGGUGCAAUUAGUUAGGCUUGUCCGUUUCGAGGUGUACCGUAACGUCCUCAUGUCCGGCACCAGCAGCAGCUCCAAUCGCCAGACAGGAAGUGUUCCAGCAAGAGGAGACAGCAGGCAAUCUAGAUGAAAAAUCUCAAGACUCUGAACGAGCCUCCGGGUUGCAGCCAGACAAUUGAGGCUCCAAUAACCCGGCACUAACAAAUGACAACACAAAAAAUAUAGACAAGGCAAGACGUGCACAACACAACAUCACAAGCACAAAUCAACUAUGAUCCACUUUCCAGAACACAACCGGCACGCUAUCAUGAUUUACACCAACCAAAAACUACAGACUCCUAUCAUGUUUCACACAGGCGCCAUGUAUCAGCGUCCCAUGUAAACCUCAAGGGAUGAAGAGCCACCGUUACAGCUGUCAGUAUAUAUUCUUCAACCGGAGAUGAAACAAAAUCUCAUGGAGGACACCUUUGAUGAAUAAAACUAAACGUUGCCUUCUUAAAAAGAUACACAAAGAAGUAGAAUUUGUUCACAGGUACACCAUUGGGUGUUAAAAAGAUGCCUCUCUAUCACGGGAUGUAAAUUUAGAUGGCAUGCAAAAACAACAAGUGAUUUCGAAUCAGUUGUUCCAUUUACCUCUGUCAGAAGAAGCCUGCUUCUAUGGAACAUGAUCGGUGGACUUAUAUUUGGCGUUCUAAUGCUUUCUCUUCUAGAAAAGCUUACAAGCACUUGGUAGGACAUGGAGAUGUUCAUUCUACUUUUACCUGGUUAUGGAAAUCCUCUGGUCAGAAUAAGGGCAAAGCUUCUGCUUAAGGAGAACGGAUCAGGUGCACCCGGCCCUUAGGGUGCACGGGAGCACGGGAGCACCUGAUCCGUUCUCUCUUCAUAAGGACAGCGAGCACAAGGAAUUUGCUCGGAAGAAGAAUUAUGGAGUUAUAAUCUUACAACUAUGUUUUAUGCCCUCAUUUAAGAGAGGAAACUCUAGCACAUCUCUUCAUGCACUGCGAGUUUGCUCAAGUCUGUUGGUUACAGGUACAUCUCAUAUUCUCAUAAUAGACCCCCUGGAGAGGAAACUUUUGCAGUUCUGAACAGCUUCAGGCAACAGAUUCACACUCCUUUUUUAUGGAGUAUUUGGAUGACAUGAAAUGAUCUUAUUUCCAAAAGGGUUCAACCAGAGGUUAAUCUCUGUUGGUGUCGGUUUAAGAAAGAAUUUGCUCUAGUUAUUCUAAUAGCAAAUGAAAGGCUCAAGCAACCAAUGCAGCAAUGGCUAGACUCCCUGUUGUAAUUUUUCUCAUCUUUUUUGUUUCUUGAGGCUCUCCCUCUUUGCUUGUUUAUGUACCACUUUUCUUUAUUUCAAUAUACAUACCCAGUAGAGGAGCUCCCCUCCUGUUUCAUCAAAAAAAAAACAAGGAGUGAUUUAGUAACCCUCACAUCUAUUUCUUGCAACUGUCGGUGCUUCUUAUCGCAUUACUGUUCGUGUUUUUGGCUUUUUGUCCAAUAAUGUCUUGGUUAAUGGAUUAAUGUAGUAGUAGUACAACAGGACUACAGGAGGCCCACGAUUGGUAGAAGAACGGUGAGUUGCAUUGAUUUACUGAUCUGACUAUAAAGAUUUGAGAGUGUUUUCAGAAACUGCAUCUUCCUACGAAAAUUGAGGCAUGUCGCACACAUUUUCCCCUGCUUUAGGUUCAAAGCUCCGCAUCCAGUCAAUUUGUGAAUGUGAGGGGACUUUAGGCAUGCGAAGCAUCAGCAAACAAGAUGGGGAGAAAGGACGAAGGCGAGGCUGCUGGAUAACACUACAAUGUCAUUGACGGUGCAGCUGACGGUGCAGCUGGCGAUGGAGCAGCUGCUCGCAUUGCCAUGGCCGAUGCCUCCAGCUCGGACCAAUGAACCUAUGCCCUGCUCUGUAGUGUUCCUGAGUACGCUGAGACCCACGCCGGUUAAGCCUUCCAAGAUCAGCUGAUGCCAUUUCUAGUCUUUCCGCCGUGCAAUGGGUAGCAUCGGCAGCAGCAGCUCCAACCGCUAGAUGAGGUGUUACAGAUCGUAGACGUGGCACCAGAGGUUGGACAAGAAUUUCCACCCGUCAGCACUCUAGAUGAGAAAUACCAAGACUCUGAACAAGCCUGCGGGUUGCAGCCAGACAAUUGAGGCCCAAAGUAUCAACAAAUGACAACGCAGAAAAUAUAGACAAGGCAAGACGCACACAACACAACAGCACAAGCAUUAAUCACCUAUAAUCCGCUUUCCAGAACAGAACCCACGUGCUAUCCUGAUUUUUACACAAACUACAAACUCCUCUCAUGUUUCACACAGGCGCC